UCAAAUGUAAAUAACUUUGAAAACUAAAGACAAUUUAUAUUGGUACUUCUAUUUUAAUAAUAGAGAUAGAACGGUGUCGCUAAUAUGGUCCUAAAGGUUAAAGCAACCCCCACCCACCCUAAGUUCAAAUCCUUGAGAUGUGUCUCUGUUCUUUCAAUUUUUUUUUACAAUUUUAGCUAUUAUUCCAUAAAAUAUUUUUUUUGAUUUUACUAUCUAAAACUAUUUUUUAUUACUGUUUUAUUUACUUUUUUUAAUAGGAUAUUUUUUUAUUUUACCAAAAAAUUGAAAUUACUUUUUAAAUUUACUUUUAAAUAAUGAAUAAUUUUCAUAAACCUUAAAUGUGUGAUAAAAAUAACUAAACUAACUUUACUAAGUCAUUUAUAAAAAUCUAUAAACUUAACCUCACCCCUUAAAUACUAAAAUCUAAAUGCAUUAAAGUAUUUUUUAUUGAAAGUAUUUUUAAAACUGAUAGCAAACUUUUUUUUUGUGUGC
rnacentral:lncRNA from 1 species